AAUGAACGUUGGCGGCGUGGAUUAGGCAUGCAAGUCGAGCGAGAACCUUUCCUUCGGGGAAGGGGACAGCGGCAGACGGGGUAGUAAUGCGUCGGUGAUGUACCCCAAGGACCGGGAUAGCCGCGGGAAACUGCGGGUAAUACCGGAUGAUCUCUCCGAUUCCGAAUGUUGGAGAGCAAAUGGUGAGAUUCCGCCUUGGGAGCGGCUGACGUGGUACCAGGUUGUUGGUGAGGUAACGGCUCACCAAGCCGAAGACGCCUAGGGGGUGUGAGAGCAUGGCCCCCACCACUGGGACUGAGACACUGCCCAGACACCUACGGGUGGCUGCAGUCGAGAAUCUUCCACAAUGGGCGCAAGCCUGAUGGAGCGACGCCGCGUGCGGGAUGAAGGCCCUUGGGUUGUAAACCGCUGUCAGAGGGGAUGAAAUCGCAGGGGGCUAUCCCCCUGUGUUGACAAAGCCUCAGAGGAAGCACGGGCUAAGUACGUG
rnacentral:rRNA from 1 species